UUUGUACUCCCUCCGUCCGGAAAUACUUGUCAGAGAAAUAGAUGAAAAUGGAUGUAUCUACAAUUAAAUUGCGUCUACAUACAUCCAUUCCUCCGACAAGUAUUUUCGGACGGAGGGAGUAUUUG
rfam:Triticum aestivum genome assembly, contig: Triticum_aestivum_CS42_TGACv1_scaffold_640826_T_6BL-0.163216_7BL-0.140307